UGGUGUGGCUGUUAUACGCAUACCCUUGAUGUCUUCUGCAGACCAAAAGAAGAAAGACGGAUACAAAUCUGUGUGGAACUUGCCAAGAUGAAAUGGCAUGGCGGGCCUACAUACUCUCCUGCUCCAGUCAUCAAAACUUGUUGGUUAUUGUACGACAGAAGUACAGUUGCCAAACAUCGCAUACUUGAAUCUGCAUUCGAAGUUUUGAGUAGUACUGAUGUACUUGAGUAGUUAUAUACUGUGCAGGAGGAUUGGAAACAGUGAUAAUUUGGCUCUUGUUCGACGGAGAUAAUGAGGUCCUUACCUAAACUAGCUAGGAAUAUGUCAUUUGGAUGUUGCAUAUGCGUUGUGAGAAUUGGCCUCAAACAUGGAGACCACCUCCUGCUGGUGUGCUUAAAGAUUGUCAUAAGGCAAUGAAAGUGAUACAGAGGAUGUGAUGUGCAUCAUGUGCUAUGCUACAGAAGGUGCAUUAUGGAGGAAAUGAACAGCUCAGUGGCGUUCCUAGAAUAUUCAGGCCAUCUUUUAUUAUCCUUGAGAUGUAUGCAGCAUCACAAUCACCUCAUCAAUCACCUACAAUAGGGUAGCUGCUACACAGUCAAUUGGCUGGAUACCACAGAGCCAUUCAAGAGGUUGAAUUGAAAGAUGGAGCUUGUAAUGCUAUUUAAUGAAGAGAAUAGGAGAAGUUGUGAGGGAUGGGGAAGAAAAGUU